AAUCAAAAGGUAGCCAGGUGCAUCGGGGAAAGCACUGACAUUGGAGUCAGACAGACUGAAGUUCAUAUCUGAUUCUGCUAUAUGACAAUGUGUGGGCUAUGUGGCUAACUUCUCAGAGCUUCAGUUUUCUCAAGGUCAAAAUAAAAAUAAUAGAAAUAAUAGAAUCCACCUCACAGGGCUGUGGUGAGAAUUGGAGAUGAAGCACAUACAGCCUAUUACAUCAACUAAACACAUGCUAAGCACAUGACAGAAUUGCUCUGUUGAAGUUUUGCAAGGUCAAAUGACUCACUUUGUCUAAUGGAAUGGGAACGAACAAUUUUUUUGUGUCACGUUUGAACAGAUACCUUUGAGAAGUUUAUGAUUCUCCAAGUUCUCUUUCUCCUACUGUGGCACCUACUGACAAGAUAAAUGUGUAGAGGUUCCUGAGUCUAGGGGUGAGUCUUGCAUAUCUGAUGAAUCCACCAGUAAAAGUACCACUGCUGAAAUCACACAAAUAUAUUUUUUUAGACCUUAUCAACCUUGGCAUGGAAUUAGAUGAGCAAAAAGCUGAGUUGAAUUGAUGAAAAGAAUCCCAAGUCAUUAAUUACUAAUGAUGGAGCUUGUAAAGUACAGCAUCACUGGGGAAAGCAACUGACUUUCCUCAUACACAUCAUAUUUUUAU
rnacentral:antisense_RNA from 1 species